rnacentral:rRNA from 1 species
UACAGGGGGGUGCAAACGUUGCUCGGAAUCAUUGGGCGUAAAGCGCACGUAGGCGGGUAGAUAAGUCGGGCGUGAAAUCCCUAGGCUCAACCUAGGAACUGCACUCGAAACUGUUUAUCUUGAGUGCCGGAGAGGAAAGCGGAAUUCCUGGUGUAGAGGUGAAAUUCGUAGAUAUCAGGAGGAACACCAGUGGCGAAGGCGGCUUUCUGGACGGUAACUGACGCUGAGACGCGAAAAGCGUGGGGAGCAAACAGG